UACGUAGGUGGCAAGCGUUGUCCGGAUUUAUUGGGUGUAAAGGGCGUGUAGGCGGAAUCGCAAGUCAGAUGUGAAAUACGGAGGCUUAACCUCCGGGCUGCAUUUGAAACUGCGGAUCUUGAGUGAUGGAGAGGUAAGCGGAAUUCCCGGUGUAGCGGUAAAAUGCGUAGAUAUCGGGAGGAACACCAGUGGCGAAGGCGGCUUACUGGACAUUAACUGACGCUGAGGCGCGAAAGUGUGGGGAGCAAAC
rnacentral:rRNA from 1 species